GGUUAAGUUAGAAAGGGCGCACGGUGGAUGCCUUGGCACUAGGAGCCGAUGAAGGACGGGACGAACACCGAUAUGCUUCGGGGAGCUGUAAGCAAGCUUUGAUCCGGAGAUUUCCGAAUGGGGAAACCCACCACUCGUAAUGGAGUGGUAUCCAUAUCUGAAUACAUAGGAUAUGAGAAGGCAGACCCGGGGAACUGAAACAUCUAAGUACCCGGAGGAAGAGAAAGCAAAUGCGAUUCCCUGAGUAGCGGCGAGCGAAACGGGAUCAGCCCAAACCAAGAGGCUUGCCUCUUGGGGUUGUAGGACACUCUGUACGGAGUUACAAAGGAACGAGGUAGAUGAAGAGGUCUGGAAAGGCCCGCCAUAGGAGGUAACAGCCCUGUAGUCAAAACUUCGUUCUCUCCUGAGUGGAUCCUGAGUACGGCGGAACACGUGAAAUUCCGUCGGAAUCCGGGAGGACCAUCUCCCAAGGCUAAAUACUCCCUAGUGACCGAUAGUGAACCAGUACCGUGAGGGAAAGGUGAAAAGCACCCCGAAAGGGGAGUGAAAGAGAUCCUGAAACCGUGUGCCUACAAGUAGUCAGAGCCCGUUAACGGGUGAUGGCGUGCCUUUUGUAGAAUGAACCGGCGAGUUACGAUCCCGUGCAAGGUUAAGCAGAAGAUGCGGAGCCGCAGCGAAAGCGAGUCUGAAUAGGGCGAAUUGAGUACGUGGUCGUAGACCCGAAACCAGGUGAUCUACCCAUGUCCAGGGUGAAGUUCAGGUAACACUGAAUGGAGGCCCGAACCCACGCACGUUGAAAAGUGCGGGGAUGAGGUGUGGGUAGGGGUGAAAUGCCAAUCGAACCUGGAGAUAGCUGGUUCUCUCCGAAAUAGCUUUAGGGCUAGCCUCAAGGUAAGAGUCUCGGAGGUAGAGCACUGAUUGGACUAGGGGCCCCUACCGGGUUACCGAAUUCAGUCAAACUCCGAAUGCCGAUGACUUAUCCUUGGGAGUCAGACUGCGAGUGAUAAGAUCCGUAGUCGAAAGGGAAACAGCCCAGACCGCCAGCUAAGGUCCCAAAGUAUACGUUAAGUGGAAAAGGAUGUGGAGUUGCUUAGACAACCAGGAUGUUGGCUUAGAAGCAGCCACCAUUUAAAGAGUGCGUAAUAGCUCACUGGUCGAGUGACUCUGCGCCGAAAAUGUACCGGGGCUAAACGUAUCACCGAAGCUGCGGACUGUUCUUCGAACAGUGGUAGGAGAGCGUUCUAAGGGCUGUGAAGCAAGACCGGAAGGACUUGUGGAGCGCUUAGAAGUGAGAAUGCCGGUAUGAGUAGCGAAAGAGGGGUGAGAAUCCCCUCCACCGAAUGCCUAAGGUUUCCUGAGGAAGGCUCGUCCGCUCAGGGUUAGUCGGGACCUAAGCCGAGGCCGAAAGGCGUAGGCGAUGGACAACAGGUUGAUAUUCCUGUACCACCUCCUCACCAUUUGAGCAAUGGGGGGACGCAGGAGGAUAGGGUAAGCGCGGUAUUGGAUAUCCGCGUCCAAGCAGUUAGGCUGGGAAAUAGGCAAAUCCGUUUCCCGUGAAGGCUGAGCUGUGAUGGCGAGCGAAUUAUAGUAGCGAAGUUCCUGAUUCCACACUGCCAAGAAAAGCCUCUAGCGAGGUGAGAGGUGCCCGUACCGCAAACCGACACAGGUAGGCGAGGAGAGAAUCCUAAGGUGAUCGAGAGAACUCUCGUUAAGGAACUCGGCAAAAUGACCCCGUAACUUCGGGAGAAGGGGUGCUCUGUUAGGGUGCAAGCCCGAGAGAGCCGCAGUGAAUAGGCCCAGGCGACUGUUUAGCAAAAACACAGGUCUCUGCGAAGCCGUAAGGCGAAGUAUAGGGGCUGACGCCUGCCCGGUGCUGGAAGGUUAAGAGGAGCGCUUAGCGUAAGCGAAGGUGCGAAUUGAAGCCCCAGUAAACGGCGGCCGUAACUAUAACGGUCCUAAGGUAGCGAAAUUCCUUGUCGGGUAAGUUCCGACCCGCACGAAAGGCGCAACGAUCUGGGCACUGUCUCAACGAGAGACUCGGUGAAAUUAUAGUACCUGUGAAGAUGCAGGUUACCCGCGACAGGACGGAAAGACCCCGUGGAGCUUUACUGCAGCCUGAUAUUGAAUGUUGGUACAGCUUGUACAGGAUAGGUAGGAGCCUUGGAAACCGGAGCGCCAGCUUCGGUGGAGGCAUCGGUGGGAUACUACCCUGGCUGUAUUGACCUUCUAACCCGCCGCCCUUAUCGGGCGGGGAGACAGUGUCAGGUGGGCAGUUUGACUGGGGCGGUCGCCUCCUAAAAGGUAACGGAGGCGCCCAAAGGUUCCCUCAGAAUGGUUGGAAAUCAUUCGCAGAGUGUAAAGGCACAAGGGAGCUUGACUGCGAGACCUACAAGUCGAGCAGGGACGAAAGUCGGGCUUAGUGAUCCGGUGGUUCCGCAUGGAAGGGCCAUCGCUCAACGGAUAAAAGCUACCCCGGGGAUAACAGGCUUAUCUCCCCCAAGAGUCCACAUCGACGGGGAGGUUUGGCACCUCGAUGUCGGCUCAUCGCAUCCUGGGGCUGUAGUCGGUCCCAAGGGUUGGGCUGUUCGCCCAUUAAAGCGGUACGCGAGCUGGGUUCAGAACGUCGUGAGACAGUUCGGUCCCUAUCCGUCGCGGGCGCAGGAAAUUUGAGAGGAGCUGUCCUUAGUACGAGAGGACCGGGAUGGACGCACCGCUGGUGUACCAGUUGUUCUGCCAAGGGCAUCGCUGGGUAGCUAUGUGCGGACGGGAUAAGUGCUGAAAGCAUCUAAGCAUGAAGCCCCCCUCAAGAUGAGAUUUCCCAUUCCGCAAGGAAGUAAGAUCCCUGAAAGAUGAUCAGGUUGAUAGGUCUGAGGUGGAAGUGUGGCGACACAUGGAGCUGACAGAUACUAAUCGAUCGAGGACUUAACCAA
rnacentral:rRNA from 1 species